rnacentral:lncRNA from 1 species
CUCCAAGACAUAUUCAUGUGGGGAUUGACGGAGAACCCAAAGAAAUGGUAUUACCUGGCAAGAGAUCUGCUGUCUUUUAUGAAAAGUCUGAUCA